UNANCACACNGGGAGGAUUGACAGAUUGAGAGCUCUUUCUUGAUUCUNUGGGUGGUGGUGCAAUGGCCGUUCUUAGUUGGUGGGUUGCCUUGUCAGGUUGAUUCCGGUAACGAACGAGACCUCAGCCUGCUAAAUAGUCACANNUGCNUCUUUCAGNUGGCCGACUUCUUAAAGGGACUUUUGUCGUUUAGGCCAUGGAAGUUUGAGGCNAUAA
rnacentral:rRNA from 1 species